CCGUCUUGUACGCAUUGGAUUUCAACUGGAAAUUAGCUACUUCAAAGAUUAUCCUGCCACCGUCACACGGCCUAGCACUGUGUCCCUGGGAAAUGAUGAUUCCAUACCCCUAGAUGUCAACUCUGGUCUGGUGGAGGUGAACCAAUUGGGGGCCCAGGAAAACAGCUGGCAGCCAGGCA